GUUGUAUAGUCAAGUAAUUAAGUGCAUGUGGUGGAUGCCUUGGCAGUCAGAGGCGAUGAAAGACGUGAUAGCCUGCGAAAAGCUCCGGGGAGGCGGCAAAUAUCCUUUGAUCCGGAGAUGUCUGAAUGGGGGAACCCACCUACUUUAAGGUAGGUAUUGCAACAUGAAUACAUAGUGUUGCAAGGCGAACGAGGGGAAGUGAAACAUCUCAGUACCCUUAGGAAAAGAAAUCAAUUGAGAUUCCCUCAGUAGCGGCGAGCGAACGGGGGUCAGCCCAUUAAGUUAUGUGUGUUUUAGUGGAACGCUCUGGGAAGUGCGAACGUAGAGGGUGAUAUUCCCGUACACGAAAGGGCACACAUAAUGAUGACGAGUAGGGCGAGGCACGUGAAACCUUGUCUGAAUAUGGGGGGACCAUCCUCCAAGGCUAAAUACUCCUGACUGACCGAUAGUGAACCAGUACCGUGAGGGAAAGGCGAAAAGAACCCCUGUGAGGGGAGUGAAAUAGAUCCUGAAACCGCAUGCAUACAAGCAGUGGGAGCACCUUCGUGGUGUGACUGCGUACCUUUUGUAUAAUGGGUCAGCGACUUAUAUUCAGUAGCGAGGUUAACCGUAUAGGGGAGCCGUAGAGAAAUCGAGUCUUAAUAGGGCGUUUAGUUGCUGGGUAUAGACCCGAAACCAGGCGAUCUAUCCAUGAGCAGGUUGAAGGUUGGGUAACACUAACUGGAGGACCGAACCCACUGUCGUUGAAAAGCCAGGGGAUGACUUGUGGAUAGGGGUGAAAGGCUAAUCAAGCCUGGUGAUAGCUGGUUCUCCCCGAAAGCUAUUUAGGUAGCGCCUCGGACGAAUACCAUAGGGGGUAGAGCACUGUUUCGGCUAGGGGGUCAUCCCGACUUACCAAACCGAUGCAAACUCCGAAUACCUAUGAGUACUAUCCGGGAGACAGACUGCGGGUGCUAACGUCCGUAGUCAAGAGGAAAACAAUCCAGACCGCCAGCUAAGGCCCCAAAAUCAUAGUUAAGUGGGAAACGAUGUGGGAAGGCAUAGACAGCUAGGAGGUUGGCUUAGAAGCAGCCACCCUUUAAAGAAAGCGUAAUAGCUCACUAGUCGAGUCGGCCUGCGCGGAAGAUGUAACGGGGCUAAAACUAUGUGCCGAAGCUGCGGAUGUAUACUUUGUAUACGUAGUAGGGGAGCGUUCUGUAAGCCGAUGAAGGUGUGUUGAGAAGCAUGCUGGAGGUAUCAGAAGUGCGAAUGCUGACGUGAGUAACGACAAAACGGGUGAAAAACCCGUUCGCCGAAAGACCAAGGGUUCCAGUCCAACGUUAAUCGGGGCUGGGUGAGUCGACCCCUAAGGCGAGGCCGAAAGGCGUAGUCGAUGGGAAAAUGGUUAAUAUUCCAUUACUUCUGUGUAAUGCGAUGAGAGGACGGAGAAGGCUAAAUCAGCCUGGCGUUGGUUGUCCAGGUGAAAGGAUGUAGGCAUGUAUCUUAGGCAAAUCCGGGGUACUCUAUGCUGAGAUCUGAUAGCAAGCUGUACUUGUACAGCGAAGUGGUUGAUGCCAUGCUUCCAGGAAAAGUCUCUAAGCUUCAGUUACACAGGAAUCGUACCCGAAACCGACACAGGUGGUCAGGUCGAGUAGACCAAGGCGCUUGAGAGAACUCUGCUGAAGGAACUAGGCAAAAUGGUACCGUAACUUCGGGAGAAGGUACGCUGUUGUUGGUGAUGGAACUCGCUUCCUGAGCUGACGACAGCCGCAGAAACCAGGCCGCUGCAACUGUUUAUUAAAAACAUAGCACUCUGCAAACACGAAAGUGGACGUAUAGGGUGUGAUGCCUGCCCGGUGCUGGAAGGUUAAUUGAUGGGGUUAGCGUAAGCGAAGCUCUUGAUCGAAGCCCCAGUAAACGGCGGCCGUAACUAUAACGGUCCUAAGGUAGCGAAAUUCCUUGUCGGGUAAGUUCCGACCUGCACGAAUGGCAUAAUGAUGGCGGCGCUGUCUCCAGCAGAGGCUCAGUGAAAUCGAAAUCGCUGUGAAGAUGCAGUGUACCCGCGGCUAGACGGAAAGACCCCGUGAACCUUUACUGCAGCUUGACACUGAACUUUGACCUUACUUGUGUAGGAUAGGUGGGAGGCUUUGAAGCUGGAACGCUAGUUCCAGUGGAGCCGUCCUUGAAAUACCACCCUGGUAAUGUUGAGGUUCUAACUCUGUCCCGUGAUCCGGGACGAGGACCGUGUCUGGUGGGUAGUUUGACUGGGGCGGUCUCCUCCUAAAGAGUAACGGAGGAGUACGAAGGUGCGCUCAGCGUGGUCGGAAAUCACGCGUAGAGUAUAAAGGCAAAAGCGCGCUUAACUGCGAGACCCACAAGUCGAGCAGGUACGAAAGUAGGUCUUAGUGAUCCGGUGGUUCUGUAUGGAAGGGCCAUCGCUCAACGGAUAAAAGGUACUCUGGGGAUAACAGGCUGAUACCGCCCAAGAGUUCAUAUCGACGGCGGUGUUUGGCACCUCGAUGUCGGCUCAUCUCAUCCUGGGGCUGAAGCAGGUCCCAAGGGUAUGGCUGUUCGCCAUUUAAAGAGGUACGCGAGCUGGGUUUAGAACGUCGUGAGACAGUUCGGUCCCUAUCUACCGUGGGCGCUGGAAAUUUGAGAGGAUCUGCUCCUAGUACGAGAGGACCAGAGUGGACGAACCUCUGGUGUACCGGUUGUGACGCCAGUCGCAUCGCCGGGUAGCUAUGUUCGGAAGGGAUAACCGCUGAAAGCAUCUAAGCGGGAAGCCUACCUCAAGAUAAGAUUUCCCUAGGACUUUAUGUCCUCUAAAGAGCCGUUCGAGACUAGGACGUUGAUAGGUUGGAUGUGGAAGCAUAGUGAUAUGUGAAGCUGACCAAUACUAAUUGCUCGUGAGGCUUGACUAUACAACACCCAAGCAGUUG
rnacentral:rRNA from 1 species